UUUGCCCUACGGGGGGCAGCAGUGGGGAAUAUUGCACAAUGGGGGAAACCCUGAUGCAGCAACGCCGCGUGAAGGAAGACGGUUUUCGGAUUGUAAACUUCUGUUCUUAGUGAAGAAGAAUGACGGUAGCUAAGGAGCAAGCCACGGCUAACUACGUGCCAGCAGCCGCGGUAAUACGUAGGUGGCAAGCGUUGUCCGGAAUUACUGGGUGUAAAGGGAGCGCAGGCGGGAAGCCAAGUCAGCUGUUAAAACUACGGGCUUAACUUGUAGACUGCAGUUGAAAAUGGAUUUCUUGAGUGAAGGAG
rnacentral:rRNA from 1 species